rnacentral:rRNA from 1 species
GAUGAACGCUGGCGGCGUGCUUAACACAUGCAAGUCGAACGGUGAAGCCCAGCUUGCUGGGUGGAUCAGUGGCGAACGGGUGAGUAACACGUGAGCAAUCUGCCCCUGACUCUGGGAUAAGCGCUGGAAACGGCGUCUAAUACUGGAUACGAGCUUCCACCGCAUGGUGAGUUGUUGGAAAGAACUUCGGUCAGGGAUGAGCUCGCGGCCUAUCAGCUUGUUGGUGAGGUAAUGGCUCACCAAGGCGUCGACGGGUAGCCGGCCUGAGAGGGUGACCGGCCACACUGGGACUGAGACACGGCCCAGACUCCUACGGGAGGCAGCAGUGGGGAAUAUUGCACAAUGGGCGCAAGCCUGAUGCAGCAACGCCGCGUGAGGGACGACGGCCUUCGGGUUGUAAACCGUCUUUUAAGUCUAGGGAAGAAGCGAAAGUAGACGGUACCUGCAGAAAAGACGCCGGCUAACUACGUGCCAGCAGCCGCGGU